CACUAAUCGGUCUCCGCGAUGCUUUUCUCAUUUUCCUCUGAGAGCGAGAGCUCCGCGAAAGGAGCCCAUCUGGGAGGGAGGAAUACUCUUCUGGUGCGUUGAGACAACGGGUCUGGGACCGCCGGGGAGAAACUGGACUUCUUGGAUUAGCAACCCUGAGAGCAACCUAAGAUGAUUCUUAGAGACCAUGUGCUGAAGAUGGCUGAGUCCCAGGAUGAAAGAAGCUUCAUCUCCGAGUCACCACUGGAGAGCAGUCUCUCCCAAUGGAUUCAGAGAGAAUCUCUAAUAUGGAUUUGUGGUUGUUUUAUCUUCUGGAACCAGAAUAAACCUUUGUUUCUUCACACAUUGUAUUAUCCUACAUCUGUGGAAAGAAAUGAGGAAGAUGUGUCUCCUAUUAUGGACACAGCUCUAAGACAGAUUGCUAAGUGGACAAUGGUAUGGAAUGUGUGUGCAUUAUCCUGUGAAAGGGAAGGAAAGAAAAGUAUAUGCAUAUAUUUUGUUUGUAUUUGCAUAAAGAAAUACUAAAAGGUGAAGUGUGUGAAUGGGAUGGGGUGUGGAACUUCUCAGUGUAUAUGUUUUCAUGUAGUUUUAAUUUUGGGGUCAAUAUAUAAUAUUAUAAAAUAAAAUACAGGCUCAGUGCCCGUAGCUCAGUGGUUAGGAUGCUGGCCACAUACACUGUGGCUGGCAGGUUUGAACCCAGCCGGGGCCUGCUAAACAAUGAAAACAACCAAAAAAUAGCUGGGCUUUGCAGAGGGCCCCUGUAGUCCCAGCUACUUGGGAGGCUGAGGCAAGAGAAUCACUUAAGCCCAAGAGUUUGUGGUUGCUGUGAGCUGUGACACCAUAGCAUUCUACUGAGGGAGACAAAGUAAGACUCUGUCUCAAAAAAUAAAAUAAAAUAAAAAUAAAAUA